CUCAGGCUUAUUCAUUGUAAAUUUCAGGUAACUGGAUUAUAAGGUGCUCCUAACAACAGUUCAUUAAUCCAAAAGAAUUCAAAGUUAAAGCUAGGAUUGCUGUUAGGAAAUGAAUUUCCAUCAUUCUCACCUGGAAAAAGGUCCUUAAAAUAUCUUUGUUCACAUCACACUUUUUCACAUUCUUAUAUCAUCCACCCAUGUGAUGAGGUGUUUGAUGUCUCUGCACUUACUGUUUAGAAGAAUGGGGGGAUGGUUAUCAUUGAAACCUACCCAAUAUUGAAAUGCCUAGACAGAGCAGAUGUGGAGAGAAUGUUCCCAGUUGUAGGGGAGCCAAGACAUUGGGUGAAGGUUGAGACGUUCUUGAUUAAUAAAGGGCAUCAAAGGUUAAGGGGAGAAGGCAAGAGAAUGGAGUUGAGAGGGAUUAUAAAUCAGCCAUAAUUGAAUGGUGUAGUAGACUUGAUGUGCCAUUAAAUAUGCAUUUAAUAACAUUGCUUUUUCAUUACACUUUCAGAAGAAAACCUUGCUUAAGAUAUUCACUAACUUGGUUUAAAGAAAUACUUCCAGGAAAUGAGGAGUCACCAUUCAAUGCAAGUGGGAUUGGGAGUGCUGGUCAGCGUCUUCUUCAGCUACUGCCCGCCCGGCGCACCGGCUCUAGCAUCCCUCUUCAUGCAGACCACAACCAUCGCCCCGCUGCGGCGCCGAACACCACUCCCCCUGGCUGGAAUGGCACAUCUGGCUGCUCCGGCUUCGCAUCUAUACGGUGGUACGGUCUGUUCCCCAGGAAAAAGGACGGCUCUCUCCUCCUUCCGGGUCCACGGAGCGCUCAGCCCGAUCUCGGCGCUGGGAGUGAAUCAGGAAGGCGGGGGGAGGGGAGGGGAAAGAGGACUGAGUGGGAGACGGGUGGGUGAGGAACCUCUGCGUCAUGUGACCCACACUCACCCCGGCCCGGCCCGGCCCCGCCCCUCCCGGCGCCCAUGUGGACCGGAGGCGGGGGAGUUGAGAGAAAGGAGCGGAGUGCUUGCUGGGUGUCUGGGGCAAUCGGGUGCAGGAUGGAGGGGGUGUCUGUGCUGUAACACCCCCUAAUCAGGCACCAAUGACGCGACUAUUUCUGGAUUGGUGUGCUCUGUUGCAGAAUAGAAGGGGGGGCUUUUAAACUGAAUGAUUCCAACUGCAGAAAAUCUUCAACAAGCAUUUGAGUUAUUGACCUAUUUAGAAAAUAUACUCCCAGAUUGGACCAUCUUGGAGAGGUCGCCCAAUGCGGUGGAUUCCCCAUCUCCCUCCCCGGUUUCUCGGAGGACCAACUGUAUUUUAAAACCUUCUCUCUAGAGAUAAAGGAAUCGAGAAACAGAUUGCAAGAGACUGUGGAUGCUGGAGUUGUUUGCCAGUCUGCACUACACUCUCUGUGACACUUCAUUCCGCAUUCUAUUAUUGUUUUCUGUACAACGUCAGUGCUUUGUUGUAAUGAAAUGACCAGCAUGGAUUUCCACUGUACUAGUGACAAGACCAUUCGACGGUAAGACGUAGGAAGAGAAUCGUGGCAUUUGGCCCAUCGAAUCUGCUCCUCCAUUCAAUCAUGGCUGAUUUAUUUUCCCUCUCAACCCCAUUUUUCCUGCCUUCUCACCCUUCCUAAUCCAAGAACUUGGCUUCCAUAACCAUCUCAAUUAGGAACAUAGAAAAUAGGUGCAGGAGUGGGCCAUUCGGCCCUUUGAGCCUGCACCGCCAUUCAGUAUGAUCAUGGCUGAUCAUCCAACUCAGAACCCUGUACCUGCUUUCUCUCCAUACCCCCCCCCCACCCAAUCCCUUUAGCCACAAGGGCCAUAUCUAACUUCCUCUUAAAUAUAGCCAAUGAACUGGCCUCAACUGUUUCCUGUGGCAGAGAAUUCCACAGAUUCACCACUCUCUGUGUGAAGAAGUUUUUCCUCAUCUCGGUCCUAAAAGGCUUCCCCAUUAUCCUUAAGCUGUGACCCCUUGUUCUGGACUUCCCCAACAUCGGAAACAAUCUUCCUGCAUCUAGCCUGUCCAAUCCCUUUAGAAUUUUAUUUUAAUUUUCAAUAAAAUCCCCCCUCAAUCUUCUAAAUUCCAGAGAGUACAAGCCCAGUCGAUCUAAUCUUUCUUCAUAUGAAAGUCCUGCCAUCUCAGGAAUCAAUCUGGUGAACCUUCUCUGUACUCCCUCUAUGGCAAGAAUGUCUUUCCUCAGAUUAGGGGACCAAAACUGCACACAAUAUUCUAGGUGCGGUCUCACCAAGGCCUUAUACAACUGCAGUAGAACCUCCCUGCUCCUGUAUUCAAAUCCUUUUGCUAUGAAUGCCAACAUACCAUUUGCCUUUUUCACCGCCUGCUGUACCUGCAUGCCCACCUUCAAUGACUGGUGUACAAUGACACCCAGGUCUCGUUGAUCUCCCCUUUUCCUAAUCAGCCACCGUUCAGAUAAUAAUCUGUUUUCCUGUUCUUGCAACCAAAAUGGAUACCGUCACAUUUAUCCACUUUAAAUUGCAUCUGCCAUGAACUUGCCCACUCACCUAACCUAUCCAAGUCACCCUGCAUCUUCUUAGCAUCCUCCUCACAGCAAACACUGCCGCCCAGCUUUGUGUCAUCUGCAAACUUGGAGAUGCUGCAUUUAAUUCCCUCGACUAAGUCAUUAAUAUAUAUUGUAAACAACUGGGGUCCCAGCACUGAGCCUUGUGGUCGGUACCCCACUAGUCACUGCCUACCAUUCUGAAAAGGUCCCAUUUACUCCCACUCUUUGCUUCCUGUCUGCCAACCAAUUCUCUAUCCACUUCAAUACCAUAUCCUCAAUACCGUGUGCAUUAAGUUUGCACACUAAUCUCCUGUGUGAGACCUUGUCAAAAGCCUUUUGAAAAUCUAAAUAUACCACAUCCACUGGCUCUCCCCUAUCCACUCUACUAGUUACAAAUUCAAAAAAUUCUAUAAGAUUCGUCAGACAUGAUUUUCCUUUCACAAAUCCAUGCUGACUUUGUCCGAUGAUUUCACCUCUUUCCAAAUGUGCUGUUAUCACCUCUUUGAUAACCGACUCUAGCAUUUUCCCCACCACCGAUGUCAGACUAGCCGGUCUAUAAUUCCCCGGUUUCUCUCUCCCUCCUUUUUUAAAAAUUCGAUGGGUUCACCGCCCCCCAGCUACAGAAUUUUCACCUCAUCUCCAUCCUAAAGAGAUAUGCUUGUAUUCUGAGGUGGAGCCCUCUGCUCCUAGACUCUCACACUAUCGGAGACAUUCUCUUCACGUCCACUCUAUGUAGGCCUCGCAAUAUUUGGUAGGGCAAUAUAAAAAAACAAUUUACCAAACAGAAACAAUAAACAAACUGCCAGAGGAAGGUCAGGAACCAAGCAUCAGUGGAGGCAGAUGAACAGUUGGCAUUUCAGACUGAGACCCGUCAUCUCGACUGACAGACUGCCUCCAGCAAUUUGUUAUUUAUUGCCAAAGGAAUGAGAAACACUGGAAUAAUGAGCAACAUCCAGCUGAUGAAUAAUUAUAUCGUUGUAAUCUAUAAUAACUUUACAUCUUUGCACUGAUCUGCUGCUGCAAAGCCACACACUUCACAUCAUGUAAGUCAGUGAUAAUAAACAUGAUUCUGCUUGA